UAUGCAUAUAUACAUAUACAUGUUCUUUUUCAUUAUAAAUUAGUGCAAGCCAUUGAAUCUAGUUCCCUGUGCCACACACAACAGGACCUUGUUUAUAUGUUCUGUACAUAGUAGUUUGCAUCUGCCAGUCCCAAACUCCCAAUUUAACCCCCCCUUCCCCUGUAGUAACCAUAAUUUUAUUUUCUGUGGGACCAUGAUUUUUAAUGUCUUCUAUAGUGAUCAGAACCCCAGUUCUGCUCCUCAGGGGAUAUCUUUGGAAAAACAAGUCUUUCCAAACACUGGAAACUUGAAGGAAGCAAGGCUGUUCAGGAACAUCUGGGCAUUGAUUCUGCUUUCUCCCAUUAGAUAAAGUUGUGGCCUUUUUGGUAGUCGGUUUGGCUCAAGAACCAGCAGGAACCCAGCUGUUUGUAAUUUCUUCCCAUUAAAGGGCAUAGCUAGUUAGAGCCUGUUCUUCCCAAAAUGGUGAUGUAAGCCCUAAGCAUAAAAGAGAAGUGGAACCAUAGCAAUCGAGCUUGCCAAAUAUCACAGGGCCCUACCUUGUCUUCUCACUGGUAGUGCAUGACUCUAGAGGCUAAUGGAAGCUAUGAUGUGAUAUGCUACAUCUAUCCUUGCUCUUGUUGGCAGCCUCACUGCUGAUAAGAUUUUGGAUCCUUGGCCAAGUGCCUCUGUAAUUUAAAAUAAUACACCGCUAUUUCUUGAUUCAUCAACUAAGGCAAUAACUAUUGAUGACCUGCCAUGAAAACUGAGGAUUUAGUUUAUUUAUGCUACUCUUGUGCUACUCUACUCUCCUUCAAAUUUUGUAUGCUCUUCAAAUCAAGAAGAACUAUACUCAGUGGGCUGUGUUUAAGGAACUAUACUCAAGAAGUUCAUCCAUACCUGGACCUCAAACCUCAGCCUGAUUGAUAUUACGAGUAUUGGAGUGAUGGAAUGAGUCUAUUUUGCAUGUAGGAGGGAUGUGAAUUGCUGUGGCCAGAAGGUGGAUUGUGUGAAAUAGGUGUCCGGAUCAUCUGCUGAGAAUGCGUGUGUACAGAACCCUGUGAGAAUUGGCUCCCUACAUCCUACACUUCUUUUGCACAUUCUUUGACUCUAUUUUGACUGAAGAGUUUCCUAUGAAAAUGAAGAGUUUAUGGAUUAUAUACUGAUGGGAAGGAUACCCACUGAGUUGUCACAAACGAGGGCUGCUUUAGCAUGGUAAUAAGAUGCUGUUCAAGGUUUUUAUCCAGUGUUUCUACUGAAAUGGGAAGUGAUCCUUGUAAUGCACAUUUACAAUUGGUAUCACUUGCCAUUCAUUGUGGGAUAACUUACAUGCCAGCUUGAGGGUGUAAAUAAUUAUGGAUUCUUCAUUGAGGAUUCAAGUGUACCUUAACAAAUAACUAUAAACAUUCUAAAUGAUUGAUAAAUAAGCUUUCAAGUGUUGAAGUUAUCACAUAUCUUUUCUGAGGACAUUUAUCUUGGUUUAUUUGGAUUAUGAUACUUUGUAUCUAUACAUUGCCUAUCUUUUCAAAUUAGUAGUUAUAUUUAGGGGGUGGGGAUUAAAAAGAGUUACAUUUACCUCACUUAAGGAAUCUUCAACAUUGAGUAAGAUUCUUCAAAACAUGCUGGUGAAGGUAAUUUUAGUUAAGUUUAGGUAACAAAAAUAACAACAUGCAAAACCUCUUUAAUAUGUAUAGUCUCAAAGUUAAAAAUUUUUUUAAAUUUCUAAUAUUUAUACCAACAUAUUUUUGAAUAAUAGUACUGUUUAUGUUAAAUGGAAAUUUGACAUAAUUGUAUUGGUGUGGAAAUUCAUGUAGAAGUUUAUUUUGAUUAUAAAAUAUUAAUAACAAUGUUUAACUAGAUUAUCUGCUUGAAAAAUAUGAAAUAGUAUAUGAAUCAUCUUUUUAGAUAGGGAGUAUGGAGGAGAGAAAAGAGGAUACUUUGGGGAAGAAGAUUAUUGCAAAUUGUAAAGGAUUCAAUUAUUCAUAUACAUUUCAGUACAUUUAAUUGUCAUUAAAAUAACUAUAGUGGAAAAAAUAACUAUAGUGAAACUUAUAUCAGAGAAUUGCUUCCAAGUAUACCAUUUUUUUUUAUGUUGGAAGACAUGACAAAAACCAUUUAGUACUCUAAAAAUUUGACUUACCUGAAGUAAAAUCUCAGUUAACUGCCAUGAUAGGGUAUUCUUUUGGUUAAUAGAAUUUUUCACUUGUCUAUGAAAGCUUAUAACUUAAACAUCAUGACUCUUUUUGCUUUGAUGAUCUGAAGCUGAAGAAAUAGAAAACCAAUGUCAUGGAGUAUGUAUGGAAUUUACACAAACUUUAACUUCUUUUGGGGUGUGUGUGUAGGCACUCUAUUCUCAUAGUUUACAUUAAAAAAAAGUCCAGAGUAAAAAUCCUUUCUUGAGUCCUUUGCUCCAACCACCAGUUCCCUUACCUGGAGGCAACUUGGAGUCUUUGGUCCAAGUCACCAUCACCCUCUUUCCGGGUUACUGUGGAAGCAUCCCGGUAGACACCCUGCUUCCUCCUUCACCCAUCCUGUUAUCUAUUCUUCACACAUCAGCCAGAGUGAUGCUUUUAAACAUAAUCCCAUCAUGUCACUCUAGUAUCUUCUCCUCUUGUUCAGAGUAAAAGACACAAUCCUCCCUAAUGCAGGUAAAGCCCGACAGGAUCUGCUUCCUCUUGCCAUUACCUGUGUGGUACUGUCUUCUCCUUCCUCGUAGCACUUCACCCCGCUGACUUCCUUAUUCUUCCCUGGUCCUUUCUUUGCAUUUGUUUCUUUUACCUGAAAUGUGCUUGCCCCAGUAUCACCAGGCCUGUUCAGGUUUCUGAGCAAAUACCUCCUUAUCAAAAAGAUCUUCCUUGAUCAUCCUGACCACCCAGCAUUCCCUAAACCCCUUUCCUGAUUGUAUUUUUCUGUAAAACUUCCCUGUUUAAAAGUGUACCCAGAAUUUUAAAAUUCAGAAAUAGUGGGGCCUGUAGAUCAGAUUUUUGCCAUUAAAAAGAUAGUUUGUUAUAGUAUGCAGGAGGAGGCAUGUCAUGCCAUGGAGGGCACAGGGCUAGGUCAGGAUGCAGAAGGAGUGACAGGAGAGCUUGGGCCAGAGCCUUCAUUGUGUUUUUUGGGGGAAGGAAUGGGAAAAAUAGGGUAAGUAGCUGAGCAAAUUUAGGAUUGGAUAGUUUGAUUAAUUUCUGCAGGCUCUGAGAUGCAGGGGUGGUCCCUAAUUGUGUGGUACCUGGCCCUGGGGUGAUUUAGGCCCUGUGAGAUAGUGUACCGGACUGCGGGAGCCUCAUAAAAGGAGAUGUCAAAAUAUCAUAAAAUACAGAUCAUAAAAAGUGGUUAAUAUACUGACAUACCAUGUGUUCAUUUAUCUUUAAUUACCUCUACAGAACACAAGCUCCAUGAAGCAACUCUUUGUCUACUUUAUUCUCUGCAGCAGCCCCAGAAGUUAGAAUGGUACCUGCACAUGGUGAUUAUUUGUUGAAUCAGGGACAGGACCAGUGAACCAUAAGCCUACUCUUCUUUUUAUGCUCCCAUUCUUGUUGUCAUCUAAGUUUAAGGUCUCUGGCCCUUGUUCCCUGCAUUUCCAUUCCCAUUAUCACAGUUGCCCAGUCUGUCUAGUCUACUGCUGAAAUAUCUCUGGUCUCUGUUCUUUCAUUCAGAUUCCCAACUGAUACUUCAGGCCCUCAUGAACUCUUGCCUGGACUAUGAAUGUAAACACAUACUCUGUACUUUGUAUCUUUUACUUAUCCUGUUUUAAAGUUUAUACAGUAAUGUUAUGUUUCUUCUUAUUUUUGACCCUUACAACAAUCUUAUAAAGUCAUUAUUUCAGUGAUCUCCAUUAACAGAAAUAAAGGCUGAGCUCUAGAAGGCAAGUAGUUUGCCCAAGAUUAGUGUAUUAGUGGCAGAGUUAGAACCUCUCCCUAGCGCCUUGUCCUGUUAUGCCUUGCAUGAUUAAUUUCUCUUAUCUCAUCACUCUUUUGAUUUAGAACUUCUUGUGGAUUUUCAUGGCUUAUAGACAAAGUCCAACCUCCUUAGCCUCGCUCGCAUUUAAGGCUUUUACUAUUUCUUUCUCUUUUGUUUCUUUUCAUAUUUUUUUCAUUAAAGGUUAUUAAUAGAUUUUUUAAAAGGUUCUACUGUUUGUUUCUAAUCAAUCUUCUUUUUUCCUAGAAGGUUAUGUUUCAUAUUUUAAGCCCCAGCCAAAAUCAUCUCUGUACAGUAAUUUGGACACAUGACAGUUUAUCACCUCUGUACUGGUUUAUGUACAAGUUUAUGUUCUUUACGCUUUUCUUGCCAGGACUGUUCAUCCUGGCACAUUUGAUCAUUCAAGGCCCACUUUCUCCGUGAACCAUUUUCAUCGCUUUUACCCUUUUCCCAUCCUAGCUGUACAGAAAUUUCUCCUUUUACUGAACUCUAACCUUUUACUUCUAACUCUCUUAUAACACUUAGGGAAACAACCUUGUAAUACAGUUAUCUAUGUUCAUUUUAUCUUUGUGCAGGUCUGUAUCUUAUUGCUUGUAUGUCUAAUACUUAGCACUGAAAAGUUUCUGUUUGCUGUGGCUCACUCUUCCACCUCUCAGCAUCAGCAACUAGCACACUCCCUUAUCUAUUAGUACCUGAUAAGUAUGGAUUGAAUAAAAUAGUAAUCUUUUGGGUGAAUUGGGACAUUCAUUGAGAAUACAAUUGCUGAAAUUAGCUUAAGCAUUCACUGAGGAUAAGUGGAUUAAUGAAUUAUCAUAGGCACUUAGGUUUUAUUUGACUCUCUGAAAUCUCAGUAUAUCCCUAUAUAUUUGCAUUUUAAACAAUCCUUAAUGAAUGAAUUGCUUUUCACACUCUUGAGUUUUUGACUUAGAAUGCUUGCAUUUUGUCUUUAACACCACUUGAAGUUCUAAGUACUAGCAAGUAUUAAAGCCCAGCUCGUAGCAGACAAAAGAUAACUUGAGAGUAGAAACAUCACAAAAAACUUGUAUUUUUAA